rnacentral:lncRNA from 1 species
CAGGCUGCCUUAAGGGUCCCACUGCCCCUCUCAGGGUCAUCAAGCAAGUUCUGAGUGCUGAUAGCAGAGUCUCCCCACAUAAGGCUCCAUGCCACCCUGAAUGGUUUUGCCUCCGUUUGUUUGCUGGGAGACUAUCUGAAGAAAACAGACCAGGUAGGUCGGUGCCUGCUGUGUGGUUAAGGCUCAGGAAGGCUACAUCAGGCCAAGUUGUAUUCAUGCAUGUGAACGCUCACCCAAAGUUUGUAUGGUUCCUUGGUGGACAGAGCCCUCUGUGUUUCUGGAGGCCCUGUUCGUGAUCACGGGUUCAAGUGCUGAUAUCUUCUUUGUGAGUCAUGAAUGCAGUAUCAUUCAUACUGUAAUUACAAUCAACCAGAGACAGCAAACAUCAGGCACACGUACAACCUGCCCACUUCUGCCUCCUAACUCAACUUCCUUAACCACUAGCAUUAACAUACAGGUUCCUCUCUGUGUUCCAUGGGCUAAUGAGAGUGUGAGUCACAUGAUUACAUGGUGUAAAGAAGAUAGACACGUGGAAGAUAAGAAAAGAUAGGUGGAGGCUAGAGAGAUGGCUCAGUGGUUAAGAGCAUUGACUGCUCUUCUGAAGGUCAUGAGUUCAAACUCCAGCAACC